GCUAUCAUUCAGAGUACGUACAGCAAUUUUUCCAGGCAGAGAAGUUUGGGGUAAAGAAUAAGGUAAUUUCCCAGACAGAGAAGAAACCAUAUUCCAAGGUAUGAAUUUCUGAAUGAGCAUGGCUUGUUACAGAUGCAGGAAGGAAAAUGUCGAGAGAAGGAACAACAGGCCAGCUGGUCUAGAUUUUCAAGGAACUUAGAGGCCAUGCCCAAGCAUUUGGACUGUGGGAGGACAGAUAGAAGCUAACAGAAGUAAACACUGCACUUAAAUGUAUUAUGAAACAGCAUUUUAUUCCUAG
rnacentral:lncRNA from 10 species